GCUGGGGUGGCGAAAUUGGUAGACGCAACAGACUUAGGAUCUGUCGCCGCAAGGCAUGGAGGUUCGAGUCCUCUCCCCAGCA
rnacentral:tRNA from 1 species